rnacentral:rRNA from 1 species
GACGAACGCUGGCGGCGUGCUUAACACAUGCAAGUCGAACGGAAAGGCCCUGCUUUUGUGGGGUGCUCGAGGGGCGAACGGGUGAGUAACACGUGAGUAACCUGCCCUUGACUUUGGGAUAACUUCAGGAAACUGGGGCUAAUACCGGAUAGGAGCUCCUGCUGCAGGGUGGGGGUGGGAAAGUUUCGGCGGUUGGGGAUGGACGCGCGGCUUAUCAGCUUGUUGGUGGGGUAGUGGCUUACCAAGGCUUUGACGGGUAGCCGGCCUGAGAGGGUGAACGGCCACAUUGGGACUGAGAUACGGCCCAGACUCCUACGGGAGGCAGCAGUGGGGAAUAUUGCACAAUGGGCGGAAGCCUGAUGCAGCAACGCCGCGUGCGGGAUGACGGCCUUCGGGGUGUAAACCGCUUUCGCCUGUGACGAAGCGUGAGUGACGGUAAUGGGUAAAGAAGCACCGGCUAACUACGUG